AACGUGUUCCGGGGUCGGUGUAAUUCCGAACCGGCGGUGACAGUCCGCGACCCCCGAGGCCCAGCAGGGCCAAAGGGCUGACCCGGUGAAAUUCCGAGACCGACAGUCAGGGAGCUACUGAUCGAUAUCGAUCAGUGGUUCCUCAGAGUCUGGAUGGGAGGAGCACGCG
rnacentral:ncRNA from 2 species